rnacentral:rRNA from 1 species
UACGUAGGGGGCUAGCGUUGUCCGGAAUCAUUGGGCGUAAAGCGCGUGUAGGCGGUCCGGUAAGUCCGCUGUGAAAGUCGGGGGCUCAACCCUCGGAUGCCGGUGGAUACUGUCGGGCUGGAGUACGGAAGAGGCGAGUGGAAUUCCUGGUGUAGCGGUGAAAUGCGCAGAUAUCAAGGAGGAACACCAAUUGCGAAGGCAGCUCGCUGGGACGUUACUGACGCUGAGACGCGAAAGCGUGGGGAGCAAACAGG